AUGGGAUAUAAUGGAAAUGCAGAUGAGAAGUUCAGGGAUAUUCCUGGGAGUGCCUAUUAUGUGGCUCCGGAGGUGCUGAAGCGGAGAUAUGGAGCCGAUAAUUGCAUAUGGAGUGCUGGAGUUAUACUCUACAUUCUGCUGUCUGGCAUUCCUCCUUUUUGGGCAGCAGGGCAGGUGCGUUCUCUGGCUGGUUAUGUCAAUCAAUUUUGGGGCUGUGAUGGAUGCAAAGACUGGAAGGUGAAUAUAGUUAUCCUACAGGAACCCUCCCUUGGUUUUAAUUACCUGAGAAUGAGGAAAGUCUAUUUGAUGUUGUUCUUCAAGGUUCUAUUCAUUUCUCAUUUGAUCCCUGGCCAUCAAUUUCUAACGGGGAUAAAGAAUUACUCCCUCCGUUCCUAA
rnacentral:rRNA from 1 species